CCCUUAGAUGUUCUGGGCCGCACGCGCGCUACACUGUUCGACGCAGCGAGUCUUAACCUUGACCGAAAGGUUUGGGUAAUCUUCAGCAAAGUCGAGCGUGAUGGGGAUCGAUCAUUGCAAUUAUUGAUCGUGAACGAGGAAUUCCUAGUAAGUGCAAGUCAUCAGCUUGCGCUGAUUACGUCCCUGCCCUUUGUACACACCGCCCGUCGCUACUACCGAUUGAAUGGUUUAGUGAGAUCUCUGGAUUGACGCUGGCUAGGGGGCGACCCUUGGCCAGACUGCUCGAGAAACUGCUCAAACUUGAUCAUUUAGAGGAAGUAAAAGUCGUAACA
rnacentral:rRNA from 1 species